UACGUAGGGGGCAAGCGUUGUCCGGAAUCAUUGGCGUAAAGAGCGCGUAGGCGGCCCUGUAAGUCCGCUGUGAAAGUCAAGGGCUCAACCCUUGAAUGCCGGUGGAUACUGCAGGGCUAGAGUCCGGAAGAGGCGAGUGGAAUUCCUGGUGUAGCGGUGAAAUGCGCAGAUAUCAGGAGGAACACCGAUGGCGGAAGGCGGCGUCCUGGACCAACACUGACACUGAGGAGCGAAAGCCAGGGGAGCAAACGGG
rnacentral:rRNA from 1 species